rnacentral:rRNA from 1 species
CAUGAAGCCGGAAUUGCUGUAAUGGCAGGUCAGCAUACUGCCGUGAAUACGUUCCCGGGCCUUGUACACACCGCCCGUCACACCAUGAGAGUUGGGAAUACCCGAAGCCUGUGAGCUAACUUUAGGGAGGCAGCAGUCGAAGGUAGAAUCAAUGAUUGGGGUGAAGUCGUAACAAGGUAUC